rnacentral:rRNA from 1 species
GACGAACGCUGGCGGCGUGCUUAACACAUGCAAGUCGAACGAUGAAGAAAAGAAUCGAAGCUUCGGCAGAAAUUCAUUUCGGAUUAGUGGCAGACGGGUGAGUAACGCGUGAGCAACCUACCUCUUACAAAGGGAUAGCCUCGGGAAACCGGGAUUAAUACCAUAUAACAUUGCGACGAAGCAUUUCGAUGCAAUCAAAGCUACGGCGGUAAGAGAUGGGCUCGCGUCCCAUUAACCGGAUGGUGAGGUAACGGCUCACCAUAGUGACGAUGGGUAACCGGCGUGAGAGGGUGAACGGUCACACUGGAACUGAGACACGGUCCAGACUCCUACGGGAGGCAGCAGUGGGGAAUAUUGCACAAUGGAGGGAACUCUGAUGCAGCGACGCCGCGUGAGUGAUGAAGGAAUUCGUUUCGUAAAACUCUGUUCUAUGGGAAGAAAAGGACUGUACCAUAGGAGAAAGCUCCGGCUAAAUACGUG